CCGGAGCCUAUUACAGUAACAGUGUAAACGGUAACGGUCUGGGCCUGAGCUCUAUUCAAUACUAGUACAGUCAGGGCCUAGCUUAUGCCUAAAAUAGUAUAAUCAUAAAACAGGUAUGCAACCCAACCCAAUCCAACCACUACUCACCAACUCUAUCCCCUGGUACACAUCAUGUGGGGAUAUAAAUAUCGACCCACCCAUCCAAUACACAUCAAUGGUAGCCCGAUUGCCGUGCUACCUCAACAAGAC
rnacentral:lncRNA from 1 species